rnacentral:sRNA from 1 species
UUUUUUUUUCUUCAGGUUUGAGGUGAUCAACUGCAAUGGUUGAUAACUUUUCAAAAAUCUGUAAAGGAAAUUCACAAAUUCAUUAAUGCUUAUCGCUGUUUUCCAGAAUUAGGGUUUUCCACUCUUUUCAAAACUUUGAAAUAUUUUAUUAUAUUAGUCAAUUUCCUGUAUGAUGCAUGGUUGCGGGUUUUUUGUGUUUUUUUACUGAUUUGAAUCUCAGGAAAUUUGAAUUUUUGUGUGUGUAUAACUUUGUUGCCUGCUGUUUUCAUGCAGGUUAAACAUAGUUUUAAAUUUUAGGUUAUAAUUCAAAGUCCCUGUGAUCUUUGAUUUAUAAAGACAGUUUCUCUGUUUUAUUGAUUUCCAUUAUUGGAUCAAUAACUUUGUAACACCCACCUGUUAGUUGUUUUCCUCUUAAUUGUGCAAUGUUCAAGUAAAGCACAAAUAAAUUUCUUGAGUAACUUCUUUUAAUAUCCAUGAUUUUUGAUAACAAGGUGAUUAAACUCACAGUCAGUCGAACAGCAUCCUAAAAAUAUGAUAUUCCAC